UAGGCAGAAGCCAGCAGGCAGAGCAAGGAUCUUAAACCAACACCAGGCUAAGAGAGGUUAAAGUGCUUGCCCAGUAUCAUGGAGUAAGGGACAAUCAGAACUGGACCUCUCGUGGGCUGACUUCUCAGUCAGAGGCAGUGUGAUCUUGAGCAAGUUACGGAGCCUCUCUCUGCACUUCAGUUUCCUCCAACAGAAGUAAUAACGGCUCCAUACCAGGGAGAACUAAAUGAGAUAAAGGUAAAAGGGUCAGCAGCUUUUGGCACUUGGGAUCAGAACUGAGCCUGAGAGGAACAGAUGGUCAGAUUUUUUCAUCUUUGGCCUAAGUCACAAACUUCCCACAUUGAUAUUUGAUUGAGAGGGCACUGGAGAUAUACUAAGGAUGAAGAGAGAGAGACUGACUGCUCCCACUGAGUGGGUGGUACUGAUGAAAAGCAAGUAGACAAUAACCAUGUGGCUUAUUAGGGAUGAUCCACUGGAGAGACUGGAAAAGAGGCAUCUUCUGUAGGCAUCUGCCAGCAUGGCAUGCAUAUUGAAAUCCCAAUUCAGGAAUGAAAAUCUGAAACCAAGCUAUCUGCUUUUGUGUACUCUGGCACUGCAUCAUUUAAAAUAAUCCAAGAAUGAAAAUAUGAGCUAAGCUGUUUGCUUUUUUAAACAUUGAGCGUGUCAAUCCUGAAAUUCCACUGGACAAGCAUUUACUCUCCACAAAGGUAAGAGUUCCUGUUGACCUUGAAUUAUUCAGAUGUCUAACAAUACAGUACCCUCCAAUAUGUGUUCAUUCUGAACAAAUAGAAUUUGGACCAAAUUAUCUCACGAUCACAAUCAAUUAUAGCUCACUAAAUAACAUAGAGAUUAAAUGUUUUUAGGAGAGCAUUUGAGAUGUGAGGCUCUGAAAUCAUUGCACCCUGAGUUUGAAUGCAAGCUCUGGCACUUACAAGGCGUUUAUCCUUGGGAAAGUUACUCUGCCUGUCUAAGGCCCCAGUUUCCUUGGUGAUAAAAUGGGGAUAAUAAAAUAUUUCAUUACGAUCUUCUUAGGGCUAAAUAUAAUAGUGCAUAUAGAAUAUUUACUAUAGUAGCUUUCUUAAUAC